rnacentral:rRNA from 1 species
GAUGAACGCUGGCGGCGUGCCUAAUACAUGCAAGUCGAGCGAACGGACGAGAAGCUUGCUUCUCUGAUGUUAGCGGCGGACGGGUGAGUAACACGUGGAUAACCUACCUAUAAGACUGGGAUAACUUCGGGAAACCGGAGCUAAUACCGGAUGAUAUUUUGAACCGCAUGGUUCAAAAGUGAAAGACGGUCUUGCUGUCACUUAUAGAUGGAUCCGCGCUGCAUCAGCUAGUUGGUAAGGUAACGGCUUACCAAGGCAACGAUGCAUAGCCGACCUGAGAGGGUGAUCGGCCACACUGGAACUGAGACACGGUCCAGACUCCUACGGGAGGCAGCAGUAGGAAAUCUUCCGCAAAGGGCGAAAGCCUGACGGAGCAACGCCGCGUGAGUGAUGAAGGUCUUCGGAUCGUAAAACUCUGUUAUUAGGGAAGAACAUAUGUGUAAGUAACUGUGCACAUCUUGACGGUACCUAAUCAGAAAGCCACGGCUAACUACGUG